rnacentral:lncRNA from 1 species
CUGCUUUCCUUGGCUAGUCCCUUGGCCCAGUGAACUACCUGACCCAUGUUAGGUCUCUAUCCAGAUUGGAAAUUCUAUUCUCUUGACCAGGAGUUUUUUUCUACUUUAAUGCCACAUAGAAAGGGCUGGGUGUGUGUGUGUGUGUGUGUGUGUGUGUGUGUGUGUGUGUGUGUCUAUAAGGAUGGCAGGAUUAUUCCAUUCUACCCAAACAAAACAUCUACCCUCAUGUGGGCACAUACAUGGGAGGCAGAUCCCAAGACAAUGUCUCUGCAUAAAUGAUUGUCUUAGGGUGAUUAUUGCUGUGGCGAAAAACCAUGACCUAUUUCUACAUCAUUGUUCAUCACUGGAGGAAGUCAGGACAGAAACUCAAAUGUGGCAGGAAUCGGGAUGCACAGGCUGAUGCAGAGGCGAGCUGGGGGAUGGAGGCUCACAACUAUAGUCCCACGAGGAACCUGGA